UGGAGCGACACACGAGGUUCGAACUCGUGACCUCAACCUUGGCAAGGUUGCGCUCUACCAACUGAGCUAGUGUCGC
rnacentral:tRNA from 1 species